rnacentral:rRNA from 1 species
UACGAAGGGGGCUAGCGUUGCUCGGAAUCACUGGGCGUAAAGCGCACGUAGGCGGCUUCUCAAGUCAGGGGUGAAAUCCUGGAGCUCAACUCCAGAACUGCCUUUGAUACUGAGAGGCUCGAGUCCGGGAGAGGUGAGUGGAACUGCGAGUGUAGAGGUGAAAUUCGUAGAUAUUCGCAAGAACACCAGUGGCGAAGGCGGCUCACUGGCCCGGUACUGACGCUGAGGUGCGAAAGCGUGGGGAGCAAACAGG